GAUGAAGAACGUAGCGAAAUGCGAUAACUAAUGUGAAUUGCAGAAUUCAGUGAAUCAUCGAAUCUUUGAACGCACAUUGCGCCCUUUGGCAUUCCGAAGGGCACACCUGUCCGAGCGCCGUCGCACAACUGAGGCGCAGCCUUGCGUUGGCGGGCGACUUGUGAGUAGCGAGUCGCCGCCCAAACGAGACGGCGCCGCGCCGCGGCCGACGAAGCACGAAAGCGGAAGUCGACGCGGAGGCGGUUGCCUGUAGGAAGACACAGCUUGGCCUCGGAUCAGGUGGGGAUACCCGCUGAACUUAAGCAUAUCAAUAAGCGGAGGA
rnacentral:misc_RNA from 1 species